rnacentral:snoRNA from 1 species
UGCUCUCAGUGGACAUGAUGCUCCGCCGCCCAUAUAUCCCGUUAUGUAUAUCCUGUGUGCGCUCUAGUUCCGUUGGGACCCUGAAGAGUAAGAGUAAGCACACUAACCGUGCAUUAUACAUGACC